AACGAACGCUGGCGGCAGGCCUAACACACGCAAGUCGAACGCUCCGCAAGGGGAGUGGCAGACGGGUGAGUAACACGUGGGAAUCUUCCUAUUGGUACGGAAUAGCUCAGGGAAACUUGGGGUAAUACCGUAUAAGCCCGUGAGGGGAAAGAUUUAUCGCCGAUAGAUGAGCCCGCGUCUGAUUAGCUAGUUGGUGAGGUAACGGCUCACCAAGGCGACGAUCAGUAGCUGGUCUGAGAGGAUGACCAGCCACACUGGGACUGAGACACGGCCCAGACUCCUACGGGAGGCAGCAGUGGGGAAUAUUGGACAAUGGGCGCAAGCCUGAUCCAGCCAUGCCGCGCGAGUGACGAAGGUCUUCGGAUUGUAAAGCUCUUUUGCCAGGGACGAUAAUGACGGUACCUGGAGAAUAAGCCCCGGCUAACUUCGUGCCAGCCGCCGCAGUAAGAC
rnacentral:rRNA from 1 species